rnacentral:rRNA from 1 species
AUGACCAUUAACACGACACAUGGUCAAACCAUCCCAAACGUUGGUAUUUACCUUCCAGAGCUUGUAUUCUCACAUGGCCAGCUAUAAGUUGCAUUGUCAAGAGGUGUGUCAAGAGAGACAACGCGGAUUUUAGCCAAGCCUAACAGGGAGGUUGAUAAAUUUGGGAGAAGCACCAAAAACAUUGGGUACAGAGAUGUUUUACAGGGGUGA